GUGCCCCCAGUGACCAAAGCAGCGGCACAUCUUCCCCGCUGUGCGACAGUGGUUUGCAUCUCAACUACCAUCCCAACAACACGGAUACAUUAUCAUGUUCCUCGUGGCCAGCAUCCCCAGGACUUAGAUGGGAAAAACGAUGGUGUGAUCUCCGACUAAUUCCACUUCUUCAUUCACGUUUUUCCCAGUACCUUCCAGGAUCAGAUUUGUGCAGGCAAAAUGCGUUCCAAGUAAUUGCUGUGGAUGGGGUUUGCAGUGGAAUAAUUCAGUGUCUCUCUGCUGAAGACUGUAUUGACUGGCUACAAGCAAUAGCAACUAACAUUUCCAACCUCACAAAGCACAAUAUAAAAAAAAUCAACAGGAAUUUUCCCGUAAACCAGCAGGUA